rnacentral:rRNA from 1 species
GACGAACGCUGGCGGCGUGCUUAACACAUGCAAGUCGAACGGAAAGGCCCUGCUCUUGUUGGGUGCUCGAGUGGCGAACGGGUGAGUAACACGUGAAUAACCUGCCCUUGACUUUGGGAUAACUUCAGGAAACUGGGGCUAAUACCGGAUAGGAGCUCCUGCUGCAUGGUGGGGGUUGGAAAGUUUCGGCGGUUGGGGAUGGACUCGCGGCUUAUCAGCUUGUUGGUGGGGUAGUGGCUUACCAAGGCUUUGACGGGUAGCCGGCCUGAGAGGGUGACCGGCCACAUUGGGACUGAGGUACGGCCCAGACUCCUACGGGAGGCAGCAGUGGGGAAUAUUGCACAAUGGGCGGAAGCCUGAUGCAGCAACGCCGCGUGCGGGAUGACGGCCUUCGGGUUGUAAACCGCUUUCGCCUGUGACGAAGCGUGAGUGACGGUAAUGGGUAAAGAAGCACCGGCUAACUACGUG